rnacentral:piRNA from 1 species
UCAUAUCUCAUGAUGCUGGUAGAGGAGA